rnacentral:rRNA from 1 species
AGAUUGAACGCUGGCGGCAUGCUUUACACAUGCAAGUCGAACGGUAACGCGGGGGCAACCCUGGCGACGAGUGGCGAACGGGUGAGUAAUACAUCGGAACGUGCCCAGUAGUGGGGGAUAGCUCGGCGAAAGCCGGAUUAAUACCGCAUACGACCUACGGGUGAAAGCGGGGGAUCGCAAGACCUCGCGCUAUUGGAGCGGCCGAUGGCGGAUUAGCUUGUUGGUGGGGUAAAAGCCUACCAAGGCGACGAUCUGUAGCUGGUCUGAGAGGACGACCAGCCACACUGGGACUGAGACACGGCCCAGACUCCUACGGGAGGCAGCAGUGGGGAAUUUGGACAAUGGGCGCAAGCCUGAUCCAGCAAUGCCGCGUGUGUGAUGAAGGCCUUCGGGUUGUAAGCUACUUUUAGUGGAACGAACGGUCCGGCCGAAUACCCUGACUAAUGACGUACCGCAGAAUAAGCACCGCUAACUACGUGCCAGAGCCGC